UUGAUUUCCUUUGUAAACUCGAAGGCCAUGGUAACCCUCCUUUUUAUUUUCAGCAUCCCUACCCAACAGAGGAUGAGAAAAAACAGAUUGCUGCUCAGACAAAUUUGACACUACUCCAAGUCAACAACUGGUUCAUCAAUGCCAGAAGACGAAUUCUUCAGCCAAUGUUGGAUUCAAGUUGUUCAGAGACCCCCAAAACAAAGAAAAAAACUGCUCAGAACCGGCCAGUUCAGAGGUUUUGGCCUGACUCUAUUGCAUCAGGAGUCGCACAGCCACCGCCGAGCGAGCUCACCAUGUCGGAAGGAGCUGUUGUCACCAUCACCACGCCCGUGAACAUGAACGUGGACAGCCUUCAGUCUCUGUCCUCGGACGGGGCCACCCUGGCGGUGCAGCAGGUCAUGAUGGCAGGGCAGAGCGAGGAUGAAUCUGUGGACAGCACAGAGGAGGACGCAGGUGCCCUGGCCCCCGCCCACAUCAGCGGGCUGGUCUUGGAGAACAGUGACUCCCUGCAGUAGGGGCAGGAGCAGACGCACCUGACUUUUUAGAGUUUGCACAGCAAACAUUUUACACAGUUUUAUUUCUAAUAUGUUUUAUAUGUAGAUAUAGAAGAGUGCACUUUUGUAUUUCA
rnacentral:sRNA from 1 species